rnacentral:rRNA from 1 species
GGAUAACCUCGGGAAACCGAGGCUAAUACCGCAUAAAAUCGCAAGAUCAAAGGAGCAAUCCGCUUUUGGAGGGGGUCGCGGCUGAUUAGCUAGUUGGUAGGGUAAUGGCCUACCAAGGCAAAGAUCGGUAUCCGGCCUGAGAGGGCGCACGGACACACUGGAACUGAAACACGGUCCAGACUCCUACGGGAGGCAGCAGUGGGGAAUUUUGCGCAAUGGGGGAAAACCUGACGCAGCAACGCCGCGUGGAGGAUGAAGGCCCUUGGGUCGUAAACUCCUUUCGACCGGGAAGAUUAUGACGGUACCGGUGGAAGAAGCACCGGCU